rnacentral:rRNA from 1 species
AGGGUUCGAUUCUGGCUCAGGAUGAACGCUGGCGGCGUGCCUAAUACAUGCAAGUCGAGCGAACAGAUAAGGAGCUUGCUCCUUGACGUUAGCGGCGGACGGGUGAGUAACACGUGGGUAACCUACCUAUAAGACUGGGAUAACUUCGGGAAACCGGAGCUAAUACCGGAUAACAUUUGGAACCGCAUGGUUCUAAAGUGAAAGAUGGUUUUGCUAUCACUUAUAGAUGGACCCGCGCCGUAUUAGCUAGUUGGUAAGGUAACGGCUUACCAAGGCGACGAUACGUAGCCGACCUGAGAGGGUGAUCGGCCACACUGGAACUGAGACACGGUCCAGACUCCUACGGGAGGCAGCAGUAGGGAAUCUUCCGCAAUGGGCGAAAGCCUGACGGAGCAACGCCGCGUGAAGUGAUGAAGGGUUUCGGCUCGUAAAACUCUGUUAUUAGGGAAGAACAAAUGUGUAAGUAACUGUGCACGUCUUGACGGUACCUAAUCAGAAAGCCACGGCUAACUACGUGCCAGCCGCCGC